CUCUAUUUGACUUCAACUACAAGAGAGAUGCCAAGCUGAGACCAGUUAAGCCACAGAACUCUUUUACCUUCGUUAACUCAAACCUGCACCCAUCUGAAGUGAAACCAGCAACCAUUUAACAGCAAACAGUAGCAGCAGCAUGCACCAAAAGAGAAUGGAAAGUGAAAAGAACACAACAGAUCAUUUUAAAAGUAGUGUGUCAAUUGCCUGGUUCUCCACUGACAGCUAAAAUUAAACAAAAAAGUGAAUUCCGUUCUACAGUGUGACCAUCUUAUGGGAACACUAGAGGAUAUCCAUAGACAGCAGAGAAAAAAUAGCAAAAUAGAUAUUUUGACUCACAGAAAAUGAAUGUUUGCAAAGAUUCACCAAGAAAUAAAGUCAACCAAAAAAGCAAAGUCAUGGAAAAGAAUUUUUCAUCCAGUGACUACCAAAUGGAGGAAUUAUCGUCUUGAAGGGGAACGUAUCAAUCACUUAAGGAAACUAGAUGGGAGACUGAAGGUGGCAAAAGGAGAGGCAUAGCAAAUGGAAGAAGGUGUCCUAGAGUCACUCUUAAA
rnacentral:lncRNA from 1 species